UUUCCGUAGGUGAACCUGCGGAAGGUUCAUUAUUGUAUCACCGGUGUGCGAGGGUUGUGGCCGGUACGUAAGGUCGUGCACGCCCGAGGACCCUCACACCCAUCUAUCUAACCCCUCUUUUCACCACCCCGUGGGUCCCCCUUUGGCUUGUUCGGCGGGGUGCUUACGUUUUCACACAAACUGUGUAUUCAGUGUAGAAUGUAUUUUUUGUUUUUGCGUUCACGCAAUCAUUACAACUUUCAACAACGGAUCUCUUGGCUCUC
rnacentral:misc_RNA from 1 species